ACGUAGGGUGCAAACGUUAUCCGGAUUUAUUGGGCGUAAAGAGCUCGUAGGCGGUAGUGUAAGUUGGAUAUUAAAGAUCCAGGCUCAACCUGGGGAAAGUAUCCAAGACUGCACAACUAGAGUGAUGCAGGGGAGAACGGAACUUACGGUGUAGCGGUAAUAUGCGUAGAUAUCGUAAGGAACGCCAAUGGUAAAGACAGUUCUCUGGGCAUUUUCUGACGCUGAGGAGCGAAAGCGUGGGUAGCGAUCG
rnacentral:rRNA from 1 species